AACGAACGCUGGCGGCAGGCCUAACACAUGCAAGUCGAGCGAACCCUUCGGGGUUAGCGGCGGACGGGUGAGUAACGCGUGGGAACGUGCCCUUUGCUACGGAAUAGCCCCGGGAAACUGGGAGUAAUACCGUAUGUGCCCUUCGGGGAAGGAUUAUCGGCAAAGGAUCGGCCCGCGUUGGAUUAGGUAGUUGGUGGGGUAAUGGCCUACCAAGCCGACGAUCCAUAGCUGGUUUGAGAGGAUGAUCAGCCACACUGGGACUGAGACACGGCCCAGACUCCUACGGGAGGCAGCAGUGGGGAAUCUUAGACAAUGGGCGCAAGCCUGAUCUAGCCAUGCCGCGUGAUCGAUGAAGGCCUUCGGUCGUAAAGACUCUGUGGGGAGAGAAGAAUAAAGCCUGUGAAGAGCAGGCCUUGACGGUAUCUCCUUAGCAAGCACCGGCUAACUCCGUGCCAG
rnacentral:rRNA from 1 species